CCGCCGCCGGUGCGAGGAGCGAAGUAGAGGCAGGAACUUCUCCUCCGGGAGCUGGGCGCGCCGCGGGGACAAAGUCCUCGGGGGCUGCGGCGCUCCGCACCCGCGGGCAGAUUGCCAACGCUAAGAAAACAGAGACUUCCAGCAAAAAAUUCUUCAGUUCAUGGAGCAACAAGGGCAGUGUUAGGAAUACAUCCCACCCUUGUGCUUCUGCUCCAAGAUGCAGUGAGAAGAAAGGCAUGCAGAGAGCAAAUAAUUAUGCAAGUGGUGGUUUAGCCUGAGGAAGAUGGACACCUGCUUUUCCAGAGGAGUUUCUUUUGAAGCAAAGCUGAUGUCUAAUUGAGAUAAGUAGAUCACUGUGUGCUUGCUGUAGAAGCUGUUUAAUUAUCACUCAACAUUGCUGGCAUGUGCAGUAAAAUUUUGGACUCAUGUUUGAUUAAGAUACAAUCAUAACUCCAUCUGUAGACUCUUGUAACAAAUUGUUUAUAGGUUAAAGUAAUUAAAAGCAAGGCUUGAUUCUUUAUCUCCUCUCCAAGUGAAAAUCUUAUUUGUGUGGUUGAUUAGUUGAGGAAUUGCCAGACAGAAAUCUGUAGAUCCAUGCGGGAAGCACACUGAUUUGCAGAUUUGUCAUGGUAUGAUCAGGGAAACUAAUCAAAGGUGAGCAGAGGAUAUGCACCAGUGCCUUGAUGAAAGCCAUGGAACAGAGCAGUCUUAAAAACUCUUUUAACAAUGUAUUAUAUCAGUGGCAACAGUGUACAUUCACAGUUAAGGUGGAAAAAAAAAAAAAAAAAAAAGGCACGGAUCUAGCAGAAAGAAACUUUGCAGCUCUUUUGGGCAAGCCCCUGUGACUAAAGCCGAAUUGUAGUUUUGAAGAACCCAGUAGAUUCAAAAUAGGCGGGAAGAAGCAGGAGAAAGAGGCAGUCUACCAAGUGAAGCCUUGUGGCCUGCUGGUUAGGUCUGUAUUCAGGAGGUAAUUUCUGAUUUGACAGACAACUUUGAAUAAACUAAGAGCUAUGUUACUGAUGGCCUAAAAAAUAAUAAUAAAUCAAUCUGUUGUAUUUGUUUUUAACAGUUUAAACCUAGAAGGAAUUCUAAAGGCCCUGAGGACUUGAAAUAUUAUUUAUAUCUCCACAGUAGUCUGGCCGUGCUUAUUACCUGUAGUUAUUUUCUAGAUAUACAUGAAUUUACCAGUUUCCUCCAAUGCCACACAGCUUGACUGUGCUGUCAGCAGAGGCCGUCAGCAUUAUGACAGAGGACACCAAAAAGUUAGGUGUGCCUAACAGUGUUUAAUGAUGCCACCCUCCAGCAAUAGAGCAGUUCUCCCUGCUAUAUAUAUUCAGUUUGACACUCAUAUCCUGGUCCUUCUGGCAAGAUGAGAUGGAAGGUGCCACUUUGCCCCUCUGGAGCUGUUGGGAGCAUGCCAUGGGGUGCCUGGGGAUGUUGACCGACAGCUCAGCCUGUGCUUGCUUCUGCUCUGCAUUCACUGAAAAGUAGCUUGCCUAUUAGGGAAUCCUCAUGCAGAAUAGCUCCUUCCUUCUUUGCUGUGAUGUGAGGUGGCGGGGAGGUGAUGUAGGUAGUGUGACUGAUACAUCACAACAGCUUUUCCUGGUUUGUGUGACAGGACUUUGAGCACAAACAAUGAUGCUCUGUGCCUAAGUAUAAGAGCAGGAAGAAUAUUUGACUGAGAUGAUAUUUCUCUGGGAUUCAUUUUGACUGAGCUGACUGUCAGUCAGUCAAGGUAGAUGGUUAUUCUCCCACCUGAACCUCAGCCCUGUAAUCAAGAGGAUAUGAAAAUCCCUGAUUGAAAUAAUGACAGCUGCUUCUGUCAGUCUGCUCCCAGAGAAAUGUACUCUCCUUAUGAAUAAAAGUUCUCACUUCUGCAAAACUUUACCAUGUAAUCCCACUGAAUCUACAGAAAUUUAUCAGAGGUCAUCUUUUUUUUCUUCCUCUUCUUAAAUGCAUCAAAAUUUUCCUACAUCAUUUUCUAAUAACCUGGAGAUUUUGGAUUUUCCUUCUGAGGAGCAUAAACUGCCCGUGCUAACUUUCUGUUUGCUGAAGGGUUACAGCCUUAUGUACAUCUUUGUGUUCAUUGCAAAGAGCCACAGUGGAGCACAGUCACAUCCAAGCCUGUCUCUCUCUACCGCCUCAGAUAUGGAUGUGUCAGAGGUCUGCAGAGCCCACUUCAGGAGAAAAGCAGUGACAGAAGGAGAUUAAAGGAAACUUUAAAGUUUCUCCAUUAAUAUCUGUUCUGUGUUGGAUAUGGAGGAAAGAAUCUUUUGAACGUUUUCUGUAGAUGGUGCAUUAAAAUGUAUUAAAGUGUCUGUUUGCAGGUGGCAACAUGAGAUUUUCAGUUUUGGAAGCGUGUAGAUGGUAGGCUCAGUGGUUACAGCCCUGGAGUUGCAAAACUUACAUCUAUACUCUGACUGGCAGGGCUUGGGGUCUUUUUUAUUGCAGAUUUAUUCAGGACUGGACAAAGUAGGGAACUGGAUUUCCUUUACUGUAACCCGUAGGUUUUGGAGAAUGCGAGUGUUCCUGGAAAAUUUUCCUAAAGAAAACAUUUCACAAAAUGUGUCUGUGAAAUGUUGAGAUUUUGUCUAACUCCAGAUGAAAGUACUGUGCCAGUCCUAUUUCAGAAGUUCCACAUUUGUCCAUCCAAAACCUCUCUUUCAAUAGCCUUGAGAACCUCGGCAUUGACCACAUCACCUCUAUUACCUGGCAAUGGGAAGAUACUCAUGUAAGAUGAUGUUACUUGGUCCUGUUUUCUCCCUGUUCGGCAAUUAUCCAUAACCUACCAGUUUGUUCUUGUUCAGUUCAGUCACAGAAACAUCUAGCUGAGAUUCUGUACUAUUAUUGAAUGUGGUCCAUGGCUAGUCUUGAAAAUAAGAAUCAGUUCAGAAGAUUGUAGUUUAUGAUGCGCGCAAGGACAUCUACCUCUUCAUAUGAAUUUACAUGUAGAGCUAGUUUCUUAAAAAUUAUGUUACACGUUCAUACUGGUGAGUGACAUAUUUCAAAAUAACUGAUUGUAUAGUACAGGAUAAUGUUAAGUAGGAUAGUAAAAUGAUUUUGGAAAUAUAAGAUACAGGAAAAAGAAAUAAAGACUAGUGGAUAUCGAGUAUCCUUCCUUCAAAACAUACUGAAUAGUUCUUAUCCACAUUUUCAUGUCUUGCACAACCUUGAAGGUCUGACAAAAGCAUUGUGGGUAAUAUAAAAGUUAAAUUUGGAUUUUCUUUUCUUAAAUGUUUGAAUUUUUAAGAAAAAAUUGCAUCUCAGUAUUGACUGUUACAAACAAACUUAGACCUUAGCCCAGUCUUUAUGUUGCUUAUGUUUGCAAGACCUGAAUAUUUCUUUUACUUUCUUGUCCAGCUUUCAACUAAAUUAUUAUUGUUGAAUAUUAGCAAACCAGGUGUGUGAAAUUGAAGAUUUUUAUAAACAUAACGUGUUUACUUUGAGAAAGCAAAAAUAAUUCAGUAGUUCUGGAGUUCAGUGCUUUCCUUUGUAGCAGCAGUGAGUUGGCACAAAUUCCUACAGAACUGCCCAAUUUAGUUUUUAGUUGACUGGGCCAGUAAAUGUAGCCUCAACUAAUUUAUUUAGGUAUUGUGUGAAAGCUCUGCUUUGCAUACACUGAUAUAGCUGCUGUCUAGGUACACAUAGGUAGGUAGUUUGUAUAUAAGUAACGGCUGUUGCCAAAAUCUGGUAUCUUAUGACAGACAUUUGGCCCUUAGGUAUAUUCCUCUCUUUGGACCUCCAAAGAGUGGAGACACUCCAGAAGUGUUCUUCCUUUGAAGUCUCUGAAGUACAUCUGAAGAGGUGACAAUAUAAUUGCAGAACACCCUUUCAUUUGUGACCAGAACAGAUUUUGAAUGGAAAACAAACGGUGCCACCCAUUUUCCUGCAUCUCUGAUAAGGUGCCCUGCACGCCAAUUGCUAGUGAACUAGCCUUAAAAACAAAUAAAAUAAAAAAAAAAUAGGGUAUGCAGGGCUCCAGAUUGUUGCUGCAUAUGAGUCACCACAAAACUAACUUUAAUGUUGUAGAUCUUUUCCUGCAUUAUUAAAAUACAGGUUUGUAAGAUCUGUUGUAUUUUGUUUUGGUGGUAAUUGAAAAAGUGAAAAGGAUAGGACAUGAUCCAAAACUGUUGUAAGAUAAAUCAGCUAUUUUUGCAUUGAACCUUCAGCUUGCUGGUGUAUUAGAGGGAGGGGCAGAAAUUGCACGGAAGAUCAAAGCCAUCAGAAGCAGUGAUUAAAGCAAACUUAUUUAUUAUUUUAGAUUUAUAUUUCAAAGCUUUUUCUUUGCCCUUUUCUGCUUUAUGAGUUGGCACAAUGGAUGAAAUUCUGUCCCUAUUGAAGUUAAUGGGAAGUUUGCCAUCAACUUUAAUGGGACCAAGAUUUUACCCAGUGUUUUAAGAUGUUUUGAUUGUUUACACAGCAUGUGUGUACUUCUUGAUUCCUUAGUUCCUAGGUAAUGGUGAAAGUACUAGGCAUCUUUUUAAUUUACCUGAAGAAAAUAAUAUGUAUUUUUAUGGCAUGAAGUUUCACUUGAAGGGAGGUUGUGAUGAGGAGGGGUUUGGCCUCUUCUCCCAGGCAACAAACAGGACCCGAGGAAAUGGCCACAAGUUGUGCCAGAGGAGAUUUAGAUUAGACAUAAGGAAAAACUUUUUCUCUCAGAGAGUGGUCAGGCACUGGAAUGGCCUGCCCAGGGAGGUGGUGGAGUCGCCAUCCUUGGUAGUGUUCAAGAGGUGUCUGGAUGAGGUGCUACGAGGUAUGGUUUAGUGGCUUGUGUUAGCAAUGGUCAUGGGAGGAUGGUUGGACUAGAUGAUCUUGUAGGUCCUUUCCAACCUUGUGAUUCUAUGAUGCACCUACUCACAGUAAAUUUUCUACUGAUUUUUUCAAAACUUCUAAUUUUUUUUUCUUUUUUAAAUCUGUAAGAAACUGAGUUUGUACAGGCAGGCAUUCUUUUUUACUGAAGACAAAAAAUAACAGUAUGUUUUUAGUGAAAGUAUUUCAUCCUGCCCCCCACCUCAUACUGCCUUGUAAAAAACAAACAAACAAACAAAAACCCAACAAAACAACAAAAACCUAUUCCAUUAUACCUGGGUAUUUCUUUCCACUCUUGUUUUUUGAAAAUAGCUAAAACUAUUUUUAAGAAUGGAUUUUUAUACAAAUCCAGUUUCACUACUGUAUUUGUUUGCUACUAAGCUGAAAUUACAUUCACUAGCUGUAUGACCUUCAUGGUAAAAUUAAGGAAUGGACAAAAAAUAAAAGCCAAAAACAUCACCAACAACAAAUCAAAAUCAAAUAUGUAUGCACACAAAAACUAACAAACAAGCAAACAAAAAACCCCACAGUUGUGGAAUGACAUAGAUUCUCUUGAUUAGUGUCUUGAAACAGCUCUUCUAAUUCCUCUAGUGGGUAAGGAAGAAAAUUGCAAGCAAUUGUCACCUUUACGUGUAUAUCGGUGUAAUCUAUGUGUGGUAUUUGAAGUCUUAUAGCAUACUUGAACUCUUUUUUCCUACAAGUGAUAGUAUAAAGAUACUUUACAUUGGUUUUUAGAGUAGAACCCUAAUGUCAUAUAUGUUUUUAUAUAUUUUGUAAAUGUUUUCUAUAUUUGUAUGUGUGACUCACGCUCUAAUUUCCAUUAAAUUACUGUAAAUGAACGGUAGGAUAUUGAGCACUAAUGAGGUAGCAGGCUGAGAUUUUUCUUCAUUUUCUGACUAUUUUUAACUGGUGAAAUUUGGUUGGCUAGCAUGCAGAACUCCACUGUGCAUUAAUUUGAACCCUUCUAAGCAAUGUUCUAGUAUUCUCCAGUAAAAAUCUGUGCUAAAAUGUUACUGAGUUCAUCUGGCUUCCAGAACAUGGUCUUCUGUUGUAGAUUGGAAAACCUGACUGAAACCUGGCUGCUUCUUUGCAUUUACUGCUGUAUUGUUAUAACCUGAAUAUGGAAUGCUUUUACUGAUUUGUCCACUGGCGGAUGUAGCAGGGUCUCAUGGGCACCAGUGAGGGCCACAGCAGAAGAACACAUCUGAAUAGGGUGGUACUGGUAUGGACUGGGGGUGGCUCAUGGGGAAGAUGGCAAAGGACAAGAUGGGAGCAAUCUGGCAUGAGGAUUACUGUGAUUUUUUUUAACUUUUUUUUCUUAUUUCUUUUUUCUCCAUGUCUUUUCCUCAGCCACUACCUGAGCACUCAACGCAUGUUAAUCUUCAGCUUUCUUGUUUUCACAACCACUACACAUCCCUCUCAUUCAUUUGUAGCCACUGUCGAUGAACCAUGACAGUAUUAAACAGUUAACACCUACAAUAAAUAUUUUAAGGUAACUAAUUUCUGCUUUCUACAGCACUUAUUGUCUUCUUCAUCCUUCUCUCCUCUCAGGACCCAGAAACCAUGCUCAGACGGGAAGCGUUUUCGAUGUUUGCUCAUUCCUUGUGUCAGCAGCGUCUGGGUUCUUUCAGGAGCCCAGCAGAUUGCUGUGCUAGAAGUUUAGGAAAUGAUUGUAAGAUGUCUGUGUUGUUUUAUUUCCUGUGUGUCAUUUCCUGUGAUAUUUCUACAGAAUAGCCAUUUCUGUUACACAUUCAUAAAUCACCUACACCAUAAUGCUGCCAUAGAAAACGAAGUAACACAUUACACACACUUGCACACAAUUAGAAAGCAGUGCUGUCUACUCAUGCUAUUAAAUAUAUUUAAUAUAGUGAUAGAUUUCUCUAAAACCAGGAGCGAAUUCUUGUGGGAGUAACAAAAUAACAAAUUUAUGGAUUUUUGCAUCUAAUUUUCUGAUAAGUCUAAAUGCAUUUCUGUCUUCUGAAAUGCUUUUGGAACAAGUUGACUUUUUAGCUAAUGUGCAUAUCCUUUGGCUUUAAUAGAGUGUAAUUUCUUUACUUUUUUUUUUUUUUUUUUUUUACUGCCUAGAAUAUUUUUCACUUCUUCUUAAAAUAAUGUGAAUUUAGAUCAAAGUACUAGCAAAUAGUGCAGGACUGGCUGCGUACCCAGAAUCUCAGGAUCGGUAUUUAUCCAGACUAUAUAUAGCCCAUUGAUUAAAGUGGUUUCAGGUUUUGUGCGAGUCAAGAAGUUAUUUAUGUACAUUGGAAUAAAAGCCAUAGUGCUGAACGAAGUUUUGAUUAUUCACAGAAGUUGGAAGUGAAAAGAUAGUUAUUUCCAAGGCUUUUCUAGAACCAGUAGAGGAAGAUUUAUAGCAAAACCUAGAAUUUAUAGUAAAACCUAGAAGGCGGGUUUCCUAAAUUUCUUGGGGAAAAGCAGAGAAUUAAGUUGGCAUGUUUUUGUUGUUGUUCCUGCUGUUUGUUUUUAGAAUUAAUACAUUGUAGGGCCACAAGUCAUCACUGUGAUCAUUUUGUUUGAUUUCCUGAAUAACACAGAUCACAUGACUGAAGCUUCCCCCUCAAGGAAACGUUAGUUCACAUAUUUUUGUUUGAACACAAAAGAAACAAAAUAAAGCAAAAAUCCAAAGAACAGAAAAGACAAGAAAUGAAAACAGGCCACAUUUCAUGAUAGAUUGCUUAACGUGAUUACAGUAUUUCUGUAGCUCUCACUAAACUUAUUCUGCCUUUGCUGAUAUUUGCUACUAGAGACGGAGUCUCCUAAAUGUCCUGAUCCCCUUUCAAUGUCCUUGUAGGAAAUGGUGAAAUAAACCACAGGUGUUGCAGCUACUGCUUCUCUGUAUGCAUUUGGCCAGACAAUGCACAAGUGGAAUAGUCGAAUGCUGAAUUAAGUGUGCAGCCUGUGGGAAGAGUUGCAGCAGUAUGGCUUGGAGGUAUACGGUACCCAUCCUUGCCCUGGCUGCUGCUCUGUCUGGAGGGGCUCAGAGUGUCUGUCUCUUCUCCCUGGCUCUCCCUCUCUCCCCCAGCACUCUUAGGGAUAAUGAUACCCACAUCAGCACAGUGCUUCUGGAUUCGUAAAGUGAAAAGCCCUGUUCAUUAUAGUAAUGCCCUGUGUAGUUACCUAAAGAUUCUUUCCCAGGUAGUAACAGGUGACAUUCAGAAGUUAACGGCCUGAUUUUUGAGCUAGUUGUGAUGAUGUAAAAUUGUGAUAAGUCUUGGCAUCUCUAAACGCAGCAGGGAUUUUACUGUCAAUGAGAUCUGGGUCAGCUUUCAUCCGCUGUUGGUUUUUCCUUUCUUCUUCUGUCCUUGGCAACUUAGAAGAAGACUUACACUCCUGGGACUGAGUUCAUAGACCUCACUGCAUUACUGACAGUUGCCUCUUGUACUAAAGUUAUGUCUAUUAGCAGUCCUGUUCAGAGCCUUGCCUUCAGCUAGUCAAAAUUUUGUGAUAUUCUGCAGCACGGGUUUUAUUACUCAGAGGAUUUGGAAACCGUGAUUACAAAGUUACCACCUUUGUCCAGACUCCAGAGAAAAUAGUGGUAGCUUCUUCUUAGCUAAAGUGUUGCAAAAUAUUCUAUAUUUGUACGUCUUGCAGAAUACUGACUUAGCCCUGAAGAUCAGUUUUCAUUAGAAAAAGUAAGUGCAGGACUGUACUGUCAGCUAGUGGAUAUUUUUUUCCAAACACUUCUACAAAAUGCAUGUGGAAAGUUUAUACUAUGAUUUUCCCCUAAACAUAGUCUAACUCUGAAGGAGCUAUUUGAAAGUGAAUGCACUAUUAAAAAAAUUCAAAGCCAUUAGCUGCAAGCUUGGCAUUAUUUAUUUUGAAAUGAUUGCUUUUGCCUGUUUCCUUUAAAAAAUGGAUCCAACUUGCUGACACUUGCAACAAACGUUUUGUUGUUUCAUUUUGGCAUGGUCAGUUACUGAAGAAUUUUAGCACCAUUGUAAGGUAUAAUACAUCAUUUCCCUUCCACAUUGCUCUUUUUAAAUUUAUUUAUUUUUGCUAAUUGGUCUGUAUGUAUAACAUUCCUAUGUUAACUUGGUCUUAGUUGUCCUUACACUAAGAAAGCUUUCCCUGACCUCUGUACAGAUUUGCUCACUGAAAAUCAAGCUGAUUGAUUUCUCAUCUGUUCUUGGUGAGGCUGGCCAAAUUUCUGAGCUGAUCCCAAAUCUCUUCAGAGUAGCCUCUUGUAUGUGGAAAAAAUAUACCAGUUUCCAGUUUUCAUUCUAUUUUCUAGACUGUGUAUACUCAACCAAAAUCUGUUUUUGUUUUAGAGAACUACCUUGUUUGGUUAUUGAAAAGUAUCCAACAAUAUUGAUGAAAGAAUUAUUUUGAUCAAUUGAUAAAUCCCAUAAUUCAAAAGUUUAGGUUUAAAAAGUUGCCAACUCCUAUUAUUUUCUGCCUGUAUCUUUUUAGCUGUAGCAUCAUUCCUAUUUCCUUUGUGCACGAUUCCAAAAAAGAAAAGAAAAAAACCCAAACAAACAUAAAAACCACAAAAAGUUACAAUUUGCAUGAGAAGAACAGCUGUACAUUCAUUUUCAUUUGUUUAAGGACAUUGUUUUCAAAACAGCUCUCAAACCUUAUAACUCUUUUUCUACAUGCUAACACUGUGACUUAUUUAUAAGGUAUACUUUCUAGAUAAAUGGGAAAAAAAAUCACUUAAUUUUGUUAUUAAUUACACCAAUGUAGCAGAGAAAGGAUGGAGUUGUUAUUUUGCUGAUAAAGAUCAAGAACAUGUUCAGAGGACUAUUUUGCUUAAAUUCAGUAACAUAACAUGUAGGUAUGGAAUUGGGACACUGUUAGAUGGAAAAAGGAAGAUCGUGGCUGGAUGUCAUUUACAAAUUCUUACAAUACCCACUUGUUUAAUUGGAUAUGAGUGCUUGCAAAGCUGCACCAAACCCCUACACAUCGAAAUUUCUUCCUUUGAGGGAUUUCCCUCCCAUUUGAAAUGGAGAUGGACCUGCUAGUGUGGCCCUGUCGAGCUCCUACUUGCAAGAGCAUUUGGAUGGUUUCAUUCAAACACAGGAGCAUUUUGAGAAGUGCCACUUGGUGUGGGAUGCCGCAGCGAGUAGUGGCGGCUGAGGUCAGGAGGCAGCUCUGCUGAAUGGGUAGGUGGGAGAGGGGGUCCCACUGGCGAUCCCCACAGGGGCUGAUGGGCAGCUCUGCUUCCUCUGUACUGCAGCUUCAUGGGCAUGUGUGUUGCCUCUGAGGCUGCCUGCUCCUUCAAGGGAGCUCGAACAAGACUGCUCCUGUCCUCUAUUUCCAGAGGGGGGGGGGGAGGGAAGAGCAAACCAGCUUGAGUGUCACUGUGUGUUUUGCUUGGAAGGGAGAGGGAGGCAGUUAGCUACAAAUAACCUAAUGUUGUAGGGAAAACUAGUCUUGAUCUAAUGUCUGCUCUCAGAGUGUCAGUGCUCUUUGUAAUAGAUUGUUCAUAUAGACUGCUUCAUUUUUCUUUCUUUAAGAAACUGUUACAGCGAAGAAAAAAACAGUUAUUGGAUCCAAAGCUAUUUUUCAUGCCUUGGCACAAAAGGAAUAAAGGAAUGUAACAGAAGCUGCUCCUGCUAGUCUGGGUGGGCAGAAGAACUUGAGGUCCAAGGAUGCGAGUGGGAGAGAGCCUACACAGAACCCAGGAUGAAAGCAUGGCCCAUCUGGCUGUCUCUAGGCAUCAGCUGGGAUGUCCUCUCCUGCUAGGCAAGGUUUGUAGAACAUAGCUGUGGCAAAAAAUGUUACAUGUUCCCUAGUGACCUCGUUGUGGAAGCCAACUGGUCCAGCAUGAAGAAUGUCUGGGGGGAGCUGGGUGGUUGGAAUGGUUGGAGCCAUACAAUUGUGCCACUGGUGCAAUUUGUGGUGUUGCUGUGAAAGUAUGAGAGGGAUGCGAAGGGAAUGUGAUGGAAAAGAAUGGCUAAAAAAGGAAUUGAGGAAUCACAUGAAAGAAAGUCAAAACACAGUGUAGUUUGUGUUUUGUCUCAACAAGUGAGAGUAAAGAGCUACUUUGAAGAGUGUUUCUGAGUGAGAGAUGCAUGGAAUUUGGACAGCUCAACGGCACCCCCACUAUUCUCAGGUUGUAAUGCACCUAAAUGACGUGGUGGAGCAGUACCUGUGAGGGUGGUUCAUGAUGUCUGCACAUGCAGAUAUUUCUUAUCUUCAUGGAAGCGGAAGAGUUAUUUCAAGGCAGCCAGGGUACCUCUAUCUUCUGCUUUGCUUUUUUUAAUCGCUGCAAGAUUUGCAACUAUUCACAAAAGAGGAAAGGCUUAUUGGCAGAAAGACAGCAGUUGGAAAUUGAAAAAAAAAAAAAAAAAACCAACCAAACAACACAACCCUGUAACUUGUGCUUCUGUAGUGAGAGCAGGAAUGCGUGUGAUUUAGACACAGCUUUACUCAGAAAGGAGAAACUAAUGCUAUCUCUGCUAUCUCUUGCAUUUUCACAGCCUCCAAGAGGUCUGUGUUAUUCCUUUAACCACAUCAGGAACACGGGUCACAACUGAUUUUACAAAUGUAGCCAGGAUCAGAAGAGCUGAAUCCUCCUCACCCUGAAUGCAGGAACUCACCCUGCUCCUCAGCCGGGUGUGGGCUGCUGGAGCACACUGUGAGUCAUCCCUCUGUAGGAGCAAAUAGGGACCUUCACAUGCUGGUCUCUUGCCAUCUAGAUAGAGACUGGCUUCUCUGCCAUUGUUUGUGGCUUACCGUGGUCUCAGGAAGUCCCACAAUGUUAAUGUUGUUGAGUUCUUGGACGGUGCUGUUUCCGUCACUUCGGGAGCCAUUGUUCUGGUGUGUGAAGUGCUGGCAAGCAUUUGUCUGACACAGAGAUGGCACACAAAUGCUUUGUGCUCAUGCUGUUGCUUUUUUUUUCAUUCUUCAAAAAAAAAAAAAAAAGUUUAUUUUUUUAUUACAUUUUUGUUCUGCAAUCUAUCAUUCUGUGCUUUUUAUUAAGCAGCACAGUUUAAUCAAAGGUAGGGAUUAACAUUGAUUUUUUUUUCUUAGUAUAGGAAAAGUUUGAGAAUUGCCAAGGUGCUGUAAUGAGUUGUUUCUACAGAUCGCAGCAGCUUGUUAAUUUGUUAACAGCAAACAUAAGCCUGUACAAAGCACUGAGAACUGAUGGCUAGAAACUGAUCCUGGAGGUUCAUACAUUAUUAGUAGAUUCAGAAGAGCAACUCUCUCCCUUUUUCAGAUGCAGAAAACUCCUCAAGUAUCAAACAUUGUCUUCUUGGAAGUUAUUUUCAGCAGAGGUACAAUUAUCAACAUUCACAGUGAUAGCAAAAACUUUCCAGCAACAUUCUUGUAAAGCUGUGAAUCACACCUCUGUUGAGAUGCCUCUUGAUAGACUGCGUAAACAAAAAUACUUAGAGACAUUGAUGUUUAUAAUUCAUCUCUGAUUUGCAGAAUAUGCUACAUCUGUUGAGCUAGUGAUGCUAAUAUAGAUGAGAUCGCAUACUGUAUUUACAAAGAAAUAAUCCUGCCCAUUAAUGGGGCUGGCCUCAUGAGACCCACUUUUUAAUUGAAGGGUCCUUAACAGCUCAUCCUUGAUAAGUUAAAUAGCAUUCUUUUCAAUUUGGAGUCGGAUAAGUGAAAGGUAGUCAAAGGCACAAACCAAUUGAAUAAAAUUGUAUACUUAAAGCUGGGAAUAGUUUCUAGCAUAGGCAGUGUUUUGAGCCGGCCUUUAUUGUUUUAUGUGUAUUUUCCAUAUUUGUAACUAUAGUUUAUCAAUGCUCAUUCUUUACAGUGAAAUUUACAUAGACCCAGGGCUUAGGUACUUCUUGUAGCACACUGCAAGGCCUAACAUUUUCUUAUUUGCUGGUACAUAGCUAGUUGUGUUGGAAGGCAGUUUUUCUGUUAUCUGUUGUUGCUGUGUGCUUGAGCGAAUGUGCAGGAUCUGAAUGUUUCUUUCCAAUUAUUUUGAAAUGUUGACAAGGACAUUGUGAUUCUGAAUAGAUACUGUUGCUUUUGUGGUUUCCUUCUGGGAAAUAGUUACCCAAGCAAUGGCUUUAGCUCUUGUGGGACAUACUCACCUCCAUCUCCCUUCCUCAGAAGGUCCCAGAGGUGGGUUAAAUGAGGUGAUUACAGUGCUGGAAGGAGCUGAAACUGAAUGCAUCUUAUGAGGAGAGUGAUGGUGUUGCCCCUUGGAUUAGAGUGCAGGGAGCAUACUCUCAUCCUUUAUUCCAUCUCUAGCUUUUUCUCAUUCCUUCCUUUCUUCUCGUGUGUUGGCAAAGGUUUUUGCUUUAGCGAGUCUUGUGUCUUCAGGCAAGGAGCACUAUUCCUCUGCUUGCAUACAUAUCCCAAAGUCAGCUCCAAGUAGCAUGCUCUUCUACCUCUGCUUAGGGAACAAAACCUUGAGCCAUUUUCUGUUCUUGUAUAAAGAUGGAUUAGUAAACAUGAACACUUUUUUCUGAGAUGAAACUGUGAAAAAGGUUGUUACUUUGUUUCUCAAGAGAUUUCAAAGGACUGAGUUGUCUCUGUAGGGUGGGAAGGGAGAACAACUCUUAAUUUUUUCUUCAUUAAAAGAGAGGUAACUCAUGAGGUGUUAUUCUUGGAAGACCUGUCUGAGACCUAACAUGCAGAGUGUGAAUUAUGGUGAAAAUAGCUAUUUCCACCUAUAGCACAGAACAUGCUGUUUUCUUGCACAGAUCAUUUGUACUUUACAGCUGUUUCUCCUGCUCAACACCAUGCAAAACAAUGCUGUUUUGUUUCCAUGCUUUCUUCUCUCUUAGUCAAAUGUUUGUGUUUAAAGCCUUGUUUAGUUAAAGCACUCAGAAAAAUUAACUGAAGUAGAGUCUGCCUUUUUCAACGGCAAAACAAAACAUGAGGUUUGAGUGGAACCAGUAUUUAUCUUGUUCACGAAUGAAUGCUCAGAUGAUACUUCGUAUGCUGUUAUUGUUUUCUUUCCUUUUUAGUGCUUUUAGGUGCAUCAAAUGCCUUAAUAUGCAGCAGGCAUCAUCAAAAGCCGGCCUGCCUUGCAGCUACUUUUAACAUUGUUUGAGUAUUCUUAAUGACUUUUUAGUAGAUUGGUUGAGUAAUUUCAGCAGAAAGUUUCCAGCAGAUUGAGGAUUGCCCUUAGACACGUUAUGUGUAUUUAAGAAUCAUCUUUGUUUCUCAGCUACUGGAUGGAAAUGUGUUUUCCCUCCGGUCAGCUCUGCAAUCUGGCUUUUUGAAGGAGGACAUCUGACGCUGGUAACAUUACCUCUGUUAUCAUCGCCAUUCAUUAACAUUCAAUAGCACUGGUUGUUCUCUUAUUUUGUGAUUGGUAACGUUACCCUUCAGCCCAACCUGGCACAGAGCAGGGUGCCUCAGUUGCUUAUCCCUCUGCAGGAUGUCAGACAGUGGGAAAGGUGUUGAGGGGUGGGGAUGAGUUCAUUUUUUUCCCCCCUGGCACAGGCUGUGAUGGGGCUUCAGAGCCAACAAGGUGAAGACCUUGAAUUCAGUGGAACAGGGCUUUAGGUGACAAUGGUUGUGAAAAUCCUGAACAAAAUGUGCAUUUAAAAAUUAUCCUCCAACACUUUAAUUGAGAAUAAGACAAAAUGGAUAAACAGGCCUUCAUUAGGGGUUUUGUAGGUAGCACAAUUAGGUGUAUGCAUUUACCUAAUUUACCUAAGAUCUGCAGAUAUUUUGGGUUUCUAGCCUGUUGUGGGGUAGGUAGCUAUGUAGUUGUGAGUUAUAAAUGCCUCCACAGCGGAGUUUUGACUUCAGCCCUGCUGAGAUUCCUCCGGUCACCAGCAUGAUGACUGGAAGCCCUUUCAUGCUGGUGGAUGAGGUAACCAUGCCCUCUCCCACCACCAUCACUGAGCAUUGUUCCUGAGAUGAACUCUGACCAGGGGCAAACCUCCUACUGUGGUCAUUCAAGCCAUACCCAUAAACAUUUGAGGGAUGGGUUGGGCUGUAAAAUUUAGUUAAUAAGUACUCUGUUCUACUGAAGGAACAACAUGCAAGACCUUUAAAAAUCUUUAUUUGUCAUCUCAAUUGUACUAGAAGUUGCCAUCAGUCUUUUUUCCCCCCUCCCCUCUUUCAUCUUUAAAUUAUUCCUGCAAAUGGAGAGGAAAUAAUUCUGACAAUCAUUUAUUGAAGGUAGCUAAUAAAACAAUGGAAGGAUGUAGGCUAAGGCAUAAAUGGAGUACUGUGACAGAUGUAGAUGAUUAUUAACCAGCUGAUGUUUCCGCAAAGGCUUCUAAUCAUAAACACAGCAUGGAGUGAAACUGGGUGUAUUAAUAGUAAGAGUUUUAUGGAAAAUCUGAGCUUGUGCUUUUUCUUUAACAUUCCAUUUCCUGCUUUAAUUGAUGGAGUGUGAAGCUUUUAUACAAAAAAUUUGGAAAAGAUUAUUUUGCAUCUGUGACAUUAAGUAUAUGGUACAGGCCAGAAACAGCAUGUUGUGGAAGGAUUGCUUGAAAACGGCUCCUAUAAUAAUACUUUUUAAAGAGAUAUGACUAGUGACAAAUGUUAAACUCAGUGAUAUAAUAAAGCCUUGUGGAUGCGGUAGUAGAAUAUCUAUUUUUGUCUCUGCAACCUAUGUUUUCUUGUGACUUGACGAGAAAGAGGAAGAUGCUAUCAGAAAGAGAUCAUUAUGCUAUAAAACUUGUGGGCCACGCUCCCAUUUUUUCCUCUGGCUUUCUAUCAAAUGUCCUCUCAUUUAGUGUCAGUUCCAUAUUGUCCUUUGUUAUGCUUUGGGAAAUGUAAUUCUAGGCUUGUACAGUAAUCACUAGGUUAGAGUUGAAGUACUUUAAAUGUACACCUUUCUUUCUCUAGCCCUGCUACAGCUUUGGCCUAUCACCCCUUCUCUGAAAUUGAGGGGGAAAAAAAAAGAAGAAAGGUUAAGCAGAAAUUACCCAAAUAAGACAGCACAAGCUCUAUUCAACAUCUUAUACCACAGCUCUGAAAGUAUUAUUUUGAUCCCUGAAACCAAUUGCAAGCAUAAACGAUUUGUUUGCCUUACAGCAGCUGGUAUUCUUGAUGUGCAGAGUGGUUGUUUGGAGUGGGGAUAAAAUAGAACAGAAAAUGGUGAGAAAGGGAACUGUUUGUCAGUUUGAAGGGUGCUCUCCUUCUGUGAGAAAGCUGAGGGAGGCUCGUGCUUGUUGGGCCACCAGGAGCAGGGCAACAUCCUCAAGGGCUCAGCUGCAGCCAGAGGCAACAUGGAAGGGACUACUGUGGAGCAGAGCAGGGGCAACCAUGCUGGAAAGGCUGUGUCAUCCACCAUACUCUUCAGCAGAGGAUUCAGAAGGAGCAGUCAGACAGAGCAGAGGGUCCUUGCAGUACCAAACUUGAGGCAGUUCUGCUUGCUGCAAAAUGCACUUCCUGCAAGAGAACUCAUGGUAUGCAAGAUGACUGGUUUCUUUCAUGGCAGUUAAUGCUUAGCACCUCUCUUCAUUAUCAGAUCUUGUCUUCUAGUGGCUAAUUAGAAGAAACGUUAUUAUUCUUGAUCUUACGUGUUCUUACUCCUCCUUUUUUUUUUUUUUUUUUUUCCUCCCCUGAAGCUAUGCUCUGCUAAAGAGAUCUACUUAAAUUAAGCAAUUCAUGCCAAGUGAAAUCACUCAAUUAUUGGUGCUUUUUGGUCUUUCUUUUGGAUAAACAGAGCCUUCCUGACAGAGAGGCAGUACCUCAAGAAUUCCUUUAUGGUGAAUUAGAGAGGGCAGUGAUGAAUAACUCUGGGCAAAGGACGCCCUGAGCAGCGAACCAAAUUGAUUACAUAAGACUUUAGCCAACUUCUUUAGGAUAAUUUUGGAUACCCUGGUACCCCCUAAGGCAUAGGUGGGUCCCAGUAUCUCCUGCCCCUCCCCCCCCCGUCCCUUCCUGCUCUUGUUAGUGUUCUCUGUGUUAGCUGCCAUUCUGAAUGCAAUGUGCCUGCAGCAGCUUUAGAGGGCUAAAACUGGCUGUGCAGUGAAUUACAGAUGUGCAGGAAAGGCUGAGAGCUGGUGCCUUGUGCACAACAGUGCUCCCUGCUUGCGUGGCAGUGGCAGUACUGGCAGUCUUCAGGUCACUAUCCUGCUGGUGAACAUCACAUCAUGGCUUGGAUUUUUUGUGUGUGUAUGCUCUUGAUUCAGUAGCAGCCCAGUAUGCUUGCUGCCUUGUUGAGUUACUCAUUAUUCCUCCUUUCUUUUUCUCCAUUAAAAACUUCUGGCUACUUAGGCUAUCACUGUAACAGCAGAGCAUCAAACCUUUCUGUAGGAUUGUGGAGCGUGAUCCCACCUAUUGUAUCCUGCAGAAAAGUAAUAUGCUGACUGAUCUCUGUCUUGAGAGGCUGAGCAUAACCUAAGGUUGUUCACUGCACAUACUUUAUUUUUAUUCUACUGUCCUUUCCUCUCCUCUGAGUGAUCUUCUCAAGAUUUGUUUAAAAUAUGACUUGUUGUUAUCCAUUUGCUUAGGUUGGAAGAAGCUUUGGAUCUAACGCUGAAUGUUGCUCUCUGAUGCUUAUGCUGUGGUUGUGAUUGAAGACAGAGUGAGGAAAUGGGCAGUGGGAGUGGGGACAAGAGCAGGAAGGAGUGAUGAUCUGAUCUUCUAGUGUCUGAGCUGCUACUCGCUGUGCUGAUGAGAAGCUACAUCACCACUGUCCAAUGCUUUCAGAGAUAGGUUAACGAUGAAAUAUUCUCAUGCAAUAAAGGGCAACAUUUUGCUUCCUAAUAACUGUGAAUGAAAACUGUAUCAUGAAAUAAGUGUUAAAGUGGAUUUAGGAGUAUCCCCAGUGUUGCUUCCCUAAGAUCAUGGACCUGAAUGGGUCGGUUUUUCUUCCCUUCCUCCUACUAGUGGCAGUGAUGUCACAGUGGGGGAUUCCAGACAGGUUUGCAGCAGCCCCUGGGUACUUGUUUCUUACCUUUCUCUGAAAAAUAAUAAUAAUAAUAAAAAAGAUCUUCAAAGAACGCCAAGCUUUGAGAAUAUCCUUUGCUCCAAAGCUUUAAUAAAACCCGCACCUUAGAUUCCCACAUAGCUCAGAAAUACAAUGCUUACUGGGUAAUCGUUUUGAUCUUUGAUUUUAAUUUCGUUUUUGUUUUAAACUGAGCAUUCCAGGGGGAAAUAGGAGAAGCAGCAGAUGGAAGAUAUGCAGGACAGCAGUUCAUAUUUCUGUUCCUAGGCUCACUGGGGACAAAUUGGCAUGCACGAUUUAGAUUUAUUCUUUAUUUCCAGCUUCUUGCAAGCAAUUAUUACUUCCAAUGACAAGUCUCAAGAUACCAGCAAAUUCCUAAAAGAGUAACUUUUUUUUUUAUUGGGGAAAAGAGGAAGGGAAAGCAUUGCAGGCAGCUAUAUUUCAUUGUCUCAAACAUACAAAAGGGAAGUAAGUUCCCUCAGAUACUGGCCUCUCCCUGCUUCUGGAAUUAAGUUCUCAUGCACCAUGAAAAUAUUUUGGGGGGGGGGGGGAACCUGCUUUCCUCCAGUAAGUAUUUAGCAGCUACUUCAUCAUUGGAAUUGAACAAGGAACAACUCUGCUAUAGAUUGUACACAUUUAUCCUGGCAUUAGCAGUGCAUCUUCAUUCAAGUUGAAUAGAAGUGGGAGAUUAUGUGUGGAGCACUGGCUAAAGGAGAAAGGCUGGGUAGGACAUAAAGUCCAUAGACUGUCCAGAUCCAUUUUUUUUUUCUUGUCAUGACCUUAUGCAGAAAGUCAUUCUGCUAUAGAUUCACAGGUUACGUGGUAUAGAGGUCACACAUGGAAGAGUUUGUCACAUGCUAAAUUUUGUCUUUUUUUUUUUUUUUUUUUUCUCCUUAGCGCUGUUUGUUGGAGAAACUUAUAGAAAGAGCAUGGGAAGCUUGGCUGGGCUCAGGCCAAGGAAUUGCAGCUGGUCUCCUAAUUACAAAAAGACAAAAUGAUAUACAGGCCUGUGGGGAUCUGUUAGACACAGAUUUAUUGGGCAGGAUGGAGUGAGACUUAUAGCUAUUGCCUCCUCUCCAUCACCCCCUCCCCAUACAGUGCACGUGCACUGAGUUUUGUGAAGCUUUUGCAGCCAUGUGAAAGUCAUCAUCUGGAGCAGUGUUAUCAUUUCUCUUCUCCCUGGUUCCUGCCCAGUCUUCAGCUUCUCCAACUCCCAGUUAAUGGCCGCAUAAUGCAGGAAAUAACAUAUAAAAUAACUUGAUCCGUUCCAAAAUUAGGAAUUCAGCAGUUUAAGGCUGCUAAGAGGUGAUAGUCUGAUCUUCUUGUCUGUCUCGAAUGCCUCCUCAGAUAUCAGUAAGGAAAAACUCAUCAGGGUUGCCACUGAUUAAAAGAAGAGAAGAAGCUGUAUAUGCUGGUUGCUGGCCACUAGCAGUCCUAACAUGUAAUAUUGCAGCACUAGUCAGCUGGAAUAGUUUUUUCUAAAAAAUAAAAUAGCAAUUAAAAAAAAGUUAUAUCCAGAGAGUGAAUGUUUGUCAAAAGUGAAGUGCAUUGGCUUAUAGUGGCCAAACGUGUUGCUGUACUUGGCAAUGCUUGGGGAGGAGGGGGAAGAGGGACCAGUCCAUAUAGAAUGUCUGUGCACGCUUCUGUUCAAGGACUUGGGUUCAGGUCUUUCUUUGAUGACAGGGUUAGGAGCUGGGGCUCUUAAGUCCCAGAUGAAUUCAUCUGACUACUGAGAUUUUGGCAGGCAAGCAGAUAUUGUGACCCCAUUUCUUAUGCAAACUGUCAAACAAUUUUACAGUUAAAAUGAGAGGUUGUUUUUUUUCCUCUUCCCUUCCCUUCCCUUCCCUUCCCUUCCCUUCCCUUCCCUUCCCUUCCCUUCCCUUCC
ensembl:lncRNA